GAUGAACGCUGGCGGCAUGCUUAACACAUGCAGGUCGAACGGGAAGUGGUGUUUCCCGUGGCGAACGGGUGAGUAACGCGUAAGAACCUGCCCUUGGGAGGGGAACAACAACUGGAAACGGUUGCUAAUACCCCGUAGGCUGAGGAGCAAAAGGAGAAAUCCGCCCAAGGAGGGGCUCGCGUCUGAUUAGCUAGUUGGUGAGGUAAUAGCUUACCAAGGCGAUGAUCAGUAGCUGGUCCGAGAGGAUGAUCAGCCACACUGGGACUGAGACACGGCCCAGACUCCUACGGGAGGCAGCAGUGGGGAAUUUUCCGCAAUGGGCGAAAGCCUGACGGAGCAAUGCCGCGUGGAGGUGGAAGGCCUACGGGUCGUCAACUUCUUUUCUCGGAGAAGAAACAAUGACGGUAUCUGAGGAAUAAGCAGCGGCUAACUCUGUG
rnacentral:rRNA from 1 species